CACCCGAUUUAUUGACGGAAUGUGAUUAAAGUUUUGGCAACGUGAAUAAUCCGACUUUGUGUAACUGCCUCCUCAAUGUUUUUCCUCCCAACCGGCAAUUUGUGCAUGUAAUUUUCAGCAGCCAGAUACUUGAUCUUCCACCCAGAAGCCGAAAUUUUCGUGGGUGUGGAGAUGAAUUUCAGCAGCCCCAGCCUUAUUAAUUCAACUGUCUUCUUUGCUUCGGUUUCCGUGCGUAUAUAAAUAACAUCCAGCAGCCGCUAAUUAACUCCAAACAAAAAGGGACUCCCUGUUCUGCCGCAGAAAUUGAUUUUCCCCAGAAAACUCUCUCCCCAAUUUUUGUUGGUUGGUAUGUAUAUA
rnacentral:lncRNA from 1 species